rnacentral:tRNA from 2 species
AAAAAGUUAGUUAAAAUAUAACCUAAAUAUGUCAUAUUUAAAUUACUAUAAAUAUUAGUACUUUUUG